AUUAUGUAUUUAACUUUCUAAAAUUUCCUUUUAAUUUUCCUCAGAAGAAAUUUUCAGAUUAAUAUUUUGUUACAAUCAUGAAGUUAUAUUGGUCCAAAAAAAAGUAUUCAAUAGAAUGGGUGAUAAAGCAGGUACUAAUGUUCACCUAAAAGUUUCUUUUUUCUGGGCUAGGUAUAUGAAAGGCAUUUAAUCAGCUUGAAUUUGUGAAGAGCAAAACAUUCCUAUCAUCUUGCAUUGGACUAUGAACUGAGGAAGAAAUCAAGUUUGUGUUGGUUCUUCUGGGAUGGCAAAUAAGUGAAGCGAAUGAAAGCAAUGAGGAAUUUGGGUCCAAACCUUGUUUUAACUAAAAUGAGAGGUGACAGAUAUCUUCAAGUGAAAACGCACCUGGGGAACUCGCCGCCUGCCGCUGAAACGGGAGCUCUGGGGAAACCUUUCCCAGAGUGAACCCAAGGACCCAGCAAUCUACAAAACUACAUCAUUUUGGCGACCACGAAGAGACUCUUCAUGUCAUCUGGUGACAACAUCAAUAUGAAAGUCAAGGGUUAACCUCAUGACCCUGACUUGAGUACUCACUUCCUCCGUUUGGCAAGAUGACCAUGUUCUGCUCCAGGUACAACCUCUAGGAAAUAAACUGAAAUUUCUGAUAAUCUGCAGAGAUAGCUGGAAAAUACAUAAUCAAGAGGAGAAAGGAGCCUUGGGCAAUUUCUUCUUAAAUCAUUUUUCUCUUCUAUUCAGAAGAAAUGUAUCUAGCAGAAAUGCACACUGAAUAUUUAGGAGUAAAAGUUUAUAAG